rnacentral:lncRNA from 1 species
UCAUAUUUCAAUUCCACUUUUAGAUAACAGCAAAAUGACUUCUUGUUCAGCUCUAAGGAAUAAGCAAGUGUUCUCACAGUGGCAACCUAGAAACUACCCAUUCUUUUCAUCAGGAGCAGAAUGGAUGGAUUGUGACAUAUUUUGAGUAUGAAAAAAUAGAAAUUGCCUAAAUAAAUGGUCACCAGCAAUCAUCUAUGGAAGGACUAGGGAACCACAGAGCAGGAGGCUAUGUGCACAUCAAGUGAUGGACAAAGAAGACGGUGCACAGCCUAGCACAGGAGCCUGAGGCAGAAGGACCAGCCUGGAAGCAAGACCAAGAAUUGAGGGAGGAGAAAGAACAUGAAGUUAGAAGUUUAUAUAUACA